rnacentral:rRNA from 1 species
CGACCGGCAGAAGGGUGCGUAACACGUGAGCAACUUGCCCGUGACAGGGGGAUAACCGAUGGAAACGUCGCCUAAUACCCCAUAACAACCGAGGAGGCAUCUUUUUGGUUUGAAAAUUCCGAUGGUCACGGAUGGGCUCGCGGGACAUUAGCCAGUUGGCGGGGUAACGGCCCACCAAAGCGACGAUGUCUAGGGGUUCUGAGAGGAAGGUCCCCCACACUGGAACUGAGACACGGUCCAGACUCCUACGGGAGGCAGCAGUGAGGAAUAUUGGACAAUGGAGGCAACUCUGAUCCAGCCAUGCCGCGUGAAGGACGAAGGCCCUACGGGUCGUAAACUUCUUUUGUUGUGGAGCAAUAAGGUGCACGUGUGCACCGAUGAGAGUACACGACGAAUAAGCAUCGGCUAACUCCGUGCCAGCAGCCGCGGUAAUACGGAGGAUGCGAGCGUUAUCCGGAUUUAUUGGGUUUAAAGGGUGCGUAGGCGGACGCGUAAGUCAGCGGUGAAAGGUACCGGCUCAACCGGUGAGCUGCCGUUGAUACUGCGCGACUGGAAUGCGGAUGCCGUGGGAGGAAUGUGUGGUGUAGCGGUGAAAUGCAUAGAUAUCACACAGAACACCGAUUGCGAAGGCAUCUCACGAAUCCGUUAUUGACGCUGAGGCACGAAGGCGUGGGGAUCAAACAGGAUUAGAUACCCUGGUAGUCCACGCAGUAAACGAUGAUGGCUAACUGCCGGCGAUACAGUGUCGGUGGCCAAGCGAAAGCGAUAAGCCAUCCACCUGGGGAGUACGACCGCAAGGUUGAAACUCAAAGGAAUUGACGGGGGCCCGCACAAGCGGAGGAACAUGUGGUUUAAUUCGAUGAUACGCGAGGAACCUUACCCGGGCUCGAACGGCUGAGGAAUGAUCUAGAGAUAGGUCAGUCCGCAAGGACUUCAGUCGAGGUGCUGCAUGGUUGUCGUCAGCUCGUGCCGUGAGGUGUCGGCUCAAGUGCCAUAACGAGCGCAACCCUGGUCGUCAGUUACCAUCAAGUAGAGUUGGGGACUCUGGCGAGACUGCCACCGCAAGGUGAGAGGAAGGGGGGGAUGACGUCAAAUCAGCACGGCCCUUACGUCCGGGGCGACACACGUGUUACAAUGGUGGGUA